rnacentral:tRNA from 1 species
AUCCUGGUAGCUUAAAGAGUAAAGCUUUAGUCUUUUAAACUAGAAAUGUGAUAAUUCACCCCGGGUA